rnacentral:lncRNA from 1 species
UUUUGUUUUCUUUCUAAAAAAAUUGCAUUUUUGUUGAAAGUUUUAGGCUAUAGAAUAAUUUGAGGUCGAGUUUGCGGAGACUUGGGAAAAAUUCACAAGAUCGGUAUUGUUUUAACACCGUAAGUCUCCUGCAUAUGAAAAUUGAGUUGAAUUUUUAUUAUGUUUUAACCUUACAUUCUCAUCCUCUGACAGCUCUUUAGUAGUUUAUUUCAGCAGUCAGCACCAUCUCAC